CCACGCUAUGAUAAGUAUUUCCACGUGUUUUGUAUAAAUAAACCAGCUCAAGCGUACCAGGUAUCCGUAGGAGUUUGAUAUCUGCUCAGAUGACGCUGCGCGUGCUAAUACAUGCAAGUCGAGCGAACAGAUAAGGAGCUUGCUCCUUUGACGUUAGCGGCGGACGGGUGAGUAACACGUGGGUAACCUACCUAUAAGACUGGAAUAACUCCGGGAAACCGGGGCUAAUGCCGGAUAACAUGUUGAACCGCAUGGUUCUACAGUGAAAGACGGUCUUGCUGUCACUUAUAGAUGGACCCGCGCCGUAUUAGCUAGUUGGUGGGGUAACGGCCUACCAAGGCGACGAUACGUAGCCGACCUGAGAGGGUGAUCGGCCACACUGGAACUGAGACACGGUCCAGACUCCUACGGGAGGCAGCAGUAGGGAAUCUUCCGCAAUGGGCGAAAGCCUGACGGAGCAACGCCGCGUGAGUGAUGAAGGUCUUCGGAUCGUAAAGCUCUGUUGUUAGGGAAGAACAAAUGUGUAAGUAACUGUGCACAUCUUGACGGUACCUAACCAGAAAGCCACGGCUAACUACGUGCCAGCAGCCGCGGUAAUACGUAGGUGGCAAGCGUUAUCCGGAAUUAUUGGGCGUAAAGCGCGCGUAGGCGGUUUUUUAAGUCUGAUGUGAAAGCCCACGGCUCAACCGUGGAGGGUCAUUGGAAACUGGAAAACUUGAGUGCAGAAGAGGAAAGUGGAAUUCCAUGUGUAGCGGUGAAAUGCGCAGAGAUAUGGAGGAACACCAGUGGCGAAGGCGGCUUUCUGGUCUGCAACUGACGCUGAUGUGCGAAAGCGUGGGGAUCAAACAGGAUUAGAUACCCUGGUAGUCCACGCCGUAAACGAUGAGUGCUAAGUGUUAGGGGGUUUCCGCCCCUUAGUGCUGCAGCUAACGCAUUAAGCACUCCGCCUGGAGAUGCCC
rnacentral:rRNA from 1 species